GAUGAACGCUGGCGGCGUGCUUAACACAUGCAAGUCGAACGGUGAAGGCGGAGCUUGCUCUGCUGGAUCAGUGGCGAACGGGUGAGUAACACGUGAGCAAUCUGCCCCUGACUCUGGGAUAAGCGCUGGAAACGGCGUCUAAUACUGGAUACGAGCUGCGAAGGCAUCUUCAGCAGCUGGAAAGAAUUUCGGUCAGGGAUGAGCUCGCGGCCUAUCAGUUUGUUGGUGAGGUAAUGGCUCACCAAGGCGUCGACGGGUAGCCGGCCUGAGAGGGUGACCGGCCACACUGGGACUGAGACACGGCCCAGACUCCUACGGGAGGCAGCAGUGGGGAAUAUUGCACAAUGGGCGAAAGCCUGAUGCAGCAACGCCGCGUGAGGGACGACGGCCUUCGGGUUGUAAACCUCUUUUAGCAGGGAAGAAGCGAAAGUGACGGUACCUGCAGAAAAAGCGCCGGCUAACUACGUG
rnacentral:rRNA from 1 species